UACGUAGGGUGCAAGCGUUAAUCGGAAUUACUGGGCGUAAAGCGUGCGCAGGCGGUUUUGUAAGUUUGUCGUGAAAGCCCCGGGCUCGAACCUGGGAAUUGCGAUGAAGACUGCAAGGCUUGAAUCUGGCAGAGGGGGGUAGAAUUCCGACGUGUAGCAGUGAAAUGCGUAGAGAUGUGGAGGAAUACCGAUGGCGAAGGCAGCCCCCUGGGUCAAUACUGACGCUCAUGCACGAAAGCGUGGGGAGCAAACAGG
rnacentral:rRNA from 1 species